GUAGGUGGCAAGCGUUGUCCGGAAUUAUUGGGCGUAAAGCGCGCGCAGGCGGUCCUUUAAGUCUGAUGUGAAAGCCCACGGCUCAACCGUGGAGGGUCAUUGGAAACUGGGGGACUUGAGUGCAGAAGAGGAAAGUGGAAUUCCAUGUGUAGCGGUGAAAUGCGUAGAGAUGUGGAGGAACACCAGUGGCGAAGGCGACUUUCUGGUCUGUAACUGACGCUGAGGCGCGAAAGCGUGGGGAGCAAACAGGAUUAGAUACCCUGGUAGUCCACGCCGUAAACGAUGAGUGCUAAGUGUUAGGGGGUUUCCGCCCCUUAGUGCUGCAGUAACGCAUUAAGCACUCCGCCUGGGGAGUACGGCCGCAGGGCUG
rnacentral:rRNA from 1 species